CCUACGGGAGGCAGCAGUGGGGAAUAUUGCACAAUGGGGGAAACCCUGAUGCAGCGACGCCGCGUGAGUGAAGAAGUAUUUCGGUACGUAAAGCUCUAUCAGCAGGGAAGAAAAUGACGGUACCUGACUAAGAAGCCCCGGCUAACUACGUGCCAGCAGCCGCGGUAAUACGUAGGGGGCCAGCGUUAUCCGGAUUUACUGGGUGUAAAGGGAGCGUAGACGGCAGCGCAAGUCUGGAGUGAAAUCCCAUGGCUUAACCAUGGAACUGCUUUGGAAACUGUGCAGCUAGAGUGCAGGAGAGGUAAGCGGAAUUCCUAGUGUAGCGGUGAAAUGCGUAGAUAUUAGGAGGAACACCAGUGGCGAAGGCGGCUUACUGGACUGUAACUGACGUUGAGGCUCGAAAGCGUGGGGAGCAAACAGGAUUAGAUACCCCUGUAGUC
rnacentral:rRNA from 1 species